rnacentral:tRNA from 1 species
ACUUAAAUAGUUUAUAUAAAAUUUUGAUUUGUGAUGUCAAGGAAACUUUGUUGUUUUAGGUA